UACGGAGGGUGCGAACGUCAAUCGGAAUCACUGGGCGUAAAGCGCGCGUAGGCGGUUCGUUAAGUGGGAUGUGAAAUCCCCGGGCUUAACCUGGGAAUUGCAUUUCAAACUGGCAAACUAGAGUGCGGUAGAGGGAGGUAGAAUUUCCUGUGUAGCGGUGAAAUGCGUAGAUAUAGGAAGGAAUACCAGUGGCGAAGGCGGCCUCCUGGAUCGACACUGACGCUGAGGCGCGAAAGCGUGGAGAGCAAACAGG
rnacentral:rRNA from 1 species